GAAGACGACCAUAGUGAUUUGGAAACGCCCAAACCCAUUCCGAACUUGGAAGCUAAGCUUAUCACGUCGCGUGUAUUAGUAUCCGAAAGGAUGUGAAGCACAGAUGUUGUCUUCA
rnacentral:rRNA from 1 species